rnacentral:rRNA from 1 species
GACGAAGGGGGCUAGCGUUGUUCGGAAUUACUGGGCGUAAAGCGCGUGUAGGCGGUUGCCCAAGUCGGGUGUGAAAGCCUUGAGCUCAACUCAAGAAAUGCACUCGGUACUGGGUGACUAGAGGACCGGAGAGGAUAGUGGAAUUCCCAGUGUAGUGGUGAAAUACGUAGAGAUUGGGAAGAACACCAGUGGCGAAGGCGGCUAUCUGGACGGUUUCUGACGCUAGGACGCGAAAGCGUGGGGAGCAAACAGG